rnacentral:rRNA from 1 species
CAGUCGAGCGGUAAGGCCCUUCGGGGUACACGAGCGGCGAACGGGUGAGUAACACGUGGGUGAUCUGCCCUGCACUUCGGGAUAAGCCUGGGAAACUGGGUCUAAUACCGGAUAUGACCUUCGGCUGCAUGGCUGAGGGUGGAAAGGUUUACUGGUGCAGGAUGGGCCCGCGGCCUAUCAGCUUGUUGGUGGGGUAAUGGCCUACCAAGGCGACGACGGGUAGCCGACCUGAGAGGGUGACCGGCCACACUGGGACUGAGACACGGCCCAGACUCCUACGGGAGGCAGCAGUGGGGAAUAUUGCACAAUGGGCGAAAGCCUGAUGCAGCGACGCCGCGUGAGGGAUGACGGCCUUCGGGUUGUAAACCUCUUUCAGCAGGGACGAAGCGAAAGUGACGGUACCUGCAGAAGAAGCACCGGCCAACUACGUGCCAGCAGCCGCGGUAAUACGUAGGGUGCAAGCGUUGUCCGGAAUUACUGGGCGUAAAGAGCUCGUAGGCGGUUUGUCGCGUCGUCUGUGAAAACUCGAGGCUCAACCUCGAGCUUGCAGGCGAUACGGGCAGACUUGAGUACUGCAGGGGAGACUGGAAUUCCUGGUGUAGCGGUGAAAUGCGCAGAUAUCAGGAGGAACACCGGUGGCGAAGGCGGGUCUCUGGGCAGUAACUGACGCUGAGGAGCGAAAGCGUGGGUAGCGAACAGGAUUAGAUACCCUGGUAGUCCACGCCGUAAACGGUGGGCGCUAGGUGUGGGUUUCCUU